UACGGAGGGGGCUAGCGUUGUUCGGAAUUACUGGGCGUAAAGCGCACGUAGGCGGCUUUGUAAGUUAGAGGUGAAAGCCCGGAGCUCAACUCCGGAACUGCCUUUAAGACUGCAUCGCUUGGACGUCGGAGAGGUAAGUGGAAUUCCGAGUGUAGAGGUGAAAUUCGUAGAUAUUCGGAAGAACACCAGUGGCGAAGGCGACUUACUGGACGACUGUUGACGCUGAGGUGCGAAAGCGUGGGGAGCAAACAGG
rnacentral:rRNA from 1 species